rnacentral:misc_RNA from 1 species
AGUUUCGUUGUGUUGAUGUUAAUAGUUCAAGUUUCCACUAUUUCUAUGCUAACAGAUGAUGAAACAAAAAACUUAACUAGUCUCAACCUUGAUUCGAUACAUUCUAACAAUGUGGACGUAUUUAGACAGCUUCUUAACCAGGAAACCAUCAUCAGAAUGACUUUGUCAAGAAUGUUCACGUGCUUAUGAAAGACAUGUUGACAUUACAAGAAAAACUCACUGCAGCCGAAAACAGGAUUUCCAAGAUUCACACAUCUACUGAUCAUGAUAUAUCUAAGCUGAAGGAGGAGGUCAAACUUUUAAAAACGGAAAACGAAUUUCUAAAAAAUAACAGCGCUCAAGUAAGAGCCGACAUAGAUCAUUUGAAUGAAAACUUGACUGACUUAUCGAACACCCUUACUGACGUAAAAAUUGAGGUUCGAUAUCUGUCGAUAACGUUGUUUGAUAUCAACACUAAUUUGCGAGAAACCGCCGAAAUAUUACAGCAUCACAAUAAUUCGAUGAAAAAUAUAAACUCAGACAUAGCGAACAACGACCGAAAACAAUCUGCAUCAUUGUUGGAGCUAGGAAAACAACACGUGAGAUUUAUUGAUGACAUUCGUAACACCACAAGGACAUUGAAGGCUGACAUAGACCAAUUUCAAACGGAUCAGUGGAGGUUAUCAGCUUCUGUAUCAUCUUUGGAACUUUUCCGUAACAAUCAAACAAAAUGUGAUCCAAACCAAGAAGUAGCCUUCACUGCUUCAGUAACAUCGUCAAGCUCCACUUGGAAUAGGGGGACUUUGAUAUUUGAUGUGGUCAUCACGAAUACCGGAAACGGAUACAACCCCAGCACAGGGGUGUUCACCUCGCCUAUAAGUGGAACAUACGUCUUCUACAUUACUGCUGUAGAAUACACUACACAACAUCUUGCCAUAGAUAUAGUAUUAAACAGCGUGUCUAAAGUUCGAGCGUAUUGUCAUAAUUCUGCAGGAUACCAGACAGGGACUAACAUGGUAGUAUUAAAACUCCAGAAGGGAGACAGCGUCUGGGUGAGAUUUGCUGGUGGCACAGGCUAUGACACCGAAGGUGUACCCUUAACAACAUUCUCGGGAUAUCUUAUUUCAUAAAGUUUAAGUGUUCAUUCAUAUAAAUGUGUUUAGCUUUGAUUGUUUUUUUCAGUCUUUUAUUUUUAAAAAAGUAUAAUACCUGCAUUCUUUUAUUAAACCUUUGCAAUUUUUUUUUUACGGGAACUGUGCUUAAUCAUGUUUGCUGCUAUUUAUGUGUAAUGUAUUCUGUACACGUCGACUAAAGUGUUUAAUUAUUUUAAUUUUUCGGACUUUCGGAAUUUUUUAAUUCUUUUAUUUAUUUCCUUCUCAAGGUCAUUUGAUUAUAAUAUAUUUCAAUAAUAAUGUUAUUCUAACAUGUGACGCAUUUAACAUACUGAAUAAAGCAAUGUGUAACACAACU